rnacentral:rRNA from 1 species
UACAGAGGUCCCAAGCGUUGUUCGGAUUCAUUGGGCGUAAAGGGUGCGUAGGCGGCGCGGUAAGUCGGGUGUGAAAUCUCGGGGCUUAACUCCGAAACUGCAUUCGAUACUGCCGUGCUUGAGGACUGGAGAGGAGACUGGAAUUUACGGUGAGCGGUGAAAUGCGCGAUAUCGGAGGAAGACCAAUGGCGAAGGCGAGCGCUGG